GAUGAACGCUGGCGGCGUGCUUAACACAUGCAAGUCGAACGAUGAAGCCCAGCUUGCUGGGUGGUUUAGUGGCGAACGGGUGAGUAACACGUGAGUAACCUGCCCUUAACUCUGGGAUAAGCCUGGGAAACUGGGUCUAAUACCGGAUAGGAGCGUCCACCGCAUGGUGGGUGUUGGAGAGAUUUAUCGGUUUUGGAUGGACUCGCGGCCUAUCCGCUUGUUGGUGAGGUAAUGGCUCACCAAGGCGACGCCGGGUCGCCGGCCUGGGAGGGUGACCGGCCACACUGGGACUGAGACACGGACCAGACUCCUACGGGAGGCAGCAGUGGGGAAUAUUGCACAAUGGGCGCAAGCCUGAUGCAGCGACGCCGCGUGAGGGAUGACGGCCUUCGGGUUGUAAACCUCUUUCAGUAGGGAAGAAGCGAAAGUGACGGUACCUGCAGAAGAAGCACCGGCUAACUACGUG
rnacentral:rRNA from 1 species